GUGCUCUCUUCGGCAGCACAUAUACUAAAUUGGAAUGAUACAAAGAAGAUUAGCAUGGCCCCUGUGCAAGGAUGGCAUGCAAAUUCGUAUAGCAUUCCAAAUAUUU